GUGUCAGCAGCCGCGGUAAGACGAACCGUCCUAACGUUGUUCGGAAUCACUGGGCUUAAAGGGCGCGUAGGCGGCCCUGUAAGUCGGGGGUGAAAGCCCACGGCCCAACCGUGGAAGUGCCUCCGAUACUGCGGGGCUCGAGGGAGGUAGGGGCAGCGGGAACUUCCGGUGGAGCGGUGAAAUGCGUUGAUAUCGGAAGGAACGCCGGUGGCGAAAGCGCGCUGCUGGACCUCUGCUGACGCUGAGGCGCGAAAGCCAGGGGAGCAAACGGGAUUAGAAACCCCUGUAGUCC
rnacentral:rRNA from 1 species